rnacentral:rRNA from 1 species
UACGUAGGAUGCAAGCGUUGUCCGGAAUUAUUGGGCGUAAAGAGCGCGCAGGCGGUAACUCAAGUCAGAUGUGAAAUAUCCGGGCUUAACCCGGAGGGGUCAUUUGAAACUGAGUAACUAGAGUACAGCAGAGGAUAGCGGAAUUCCCGGUGUAGUGGUGAAAUUCGUAGAUAUCGGGAGGAACACCAGUGGCGAAGGCGGCUGACUGGUCCGGUUCUGACGCUGAGGCGCGAAAGCGUGGGGAGCAAACAGG